rnacentral:rRNA from 1 species
CAGACCUCUGAUCAGAAAA